rnacentral:rRNA from 1 species
UGAGUUUGAUCCUGGCUCAGGAUGAACGCUAGCGACAGGCUUAACACAUGCAAGUCGAGGGGCAGCACAAGGAGCAAUCUGAGGUGGCGACCGGCGCACGGGUGAGUAACACGUAUGCAACCUGCCUGUAACAGUGGGAUAACCCGGCGAAAGUCGGGCUAAUACCGCAUAACACUAUCAUUUCGCAUGGAAUAAUAGUUAAAGAUUAAUCGGUUAUGGAUGGGCAUGCGUUCCAUUAGGUAGUUGGUAGAGUAACGGCCUACCAAGCCAACGAUGGAUAGGGGAACUGAGAGGUUGGUCCCCCACACUGGUACUGAGACACGGACCAGACUCCUACGGGAGGCAGCAGUGAGGAAUAUUGGUCAAUGGGCGAGAGCCUGAACCAGCCAAGUCGCGUGAAGGACGACGGUAUUAUGUAUUGUAAACUUCUUUUAUUUGGGAAUAAACGACAUCACGUGUGAUGUUUUGUAUGUACCAGAUGAAUAAGCAUCGGCUAACUCCGUGCCAGCAGCCGCGGUAAUACGGAGGAUGCAAGCGUUAUCCGGAUUUAUUGGGUUUAAAGGGUGCGUAGGUUGUUUUGUAAGUCAGCGGUGAAAUUUUCGAGCUUAACUUGGAGAUUGCCGUUGAAACUGUGAGACUUGAGUAUGGUCGAGGUAGGCGGAAUUCGUGGUGUAGCGGUGAAAUGCAUAGAUAUCACGAAGAACACCGAUAGCGUAGGCAGCUUACCAGUCCAGCACUGACACUGAAGCACGAAAGUGUGGGAAUCAAACAGGAUUAGAUACCCUGGUAGUCCACACCGUAAACGAUGAAUACUCGCUGUUUGCCUGUUACAGGUAAGCGGCUUAGCGAAAGCGUUAAGUAUUCCACCUGGGGAGUACGCCGGCAACGGUGAAACUCAAAGGAAUUGACGGGGGCCCGCACAAGCGGAGGAACAUGUGGUUUAAUUCGAUGAUACGCGAGGAACCUUACCCGGGCUCGAACGGCUGGUGAAUAAUUAUGAAAGUGAUUAGUCGCAAGACACCAGUCGAGGUGCUGCAUGGUUGUCGUCAGCUCGUGCCGUGAGGUGUCGGCUUAAGUGCCAUAACGAGCGCAACCCUUACCGUUAGUUACCAUCAGGUAGCGCUGGGGACUCUAGCGGGACUGCCACCGUAAGGUGUGAGGAAGGUGGGGAUGACGUCAAAUCAGCACGGCCCUUACGUCCGGGGCUACACACGUGUUACAAUGGGGGGCACAGCAGGUUGCUACCUGGCGACAGGAUGCUAAUCUUCAAGAACCCCUCCCAGUUCGGAUUGGAGUCUGCAACCCGACUCCAUGAAGCCGGAUUCGCUAGUAAUCGCGCAUCAGCCAUGGCGCGGUGAAUACGUUCCCGGGCCUUGUACACACCGCCCGUCAAGCCAUGGGAGCCGGGGGUGCCUGAAGUACGUGACCGCAAGGAGCGUCCUAGGGUAAAACCGGUAACUGGGGCUAAGUCGUAACAAGGUAACCGUA